rnacentral:rRNA from 1 species
AGGAUAAACGCUGGCGGCGUGCCUAACACAUGCAAGUCGAACGCGCUUUCGGGCUUCGGUGCGAGAGCGAGUGGCGGACGGGUGAGUAACACAUGGGUACCUACCUUGGAGUGAGGGAUACCGGCGAGAAAUCGCCGACAAUACCGCAUAGGCUUCUUCACAAGGGAAGCAAAGUGACGCGAGUCACGCUGUGAGAUGGGCCUGUGGCCGAUUAGCUAGUUGGGGGGGUAACGGCUUCCCAAGGCGACGAUCGGUAGCUGGUCUGAGAGGACGAUCAGCCACACUGGGAUUGAGAACGGCCCAGACUCCUACGGGGGGCAGCAGUGAGGAAUUUUCCGCAAUGGAGGCAACUCUGACGGAGCAACGCCGCGUGCAGGAGGAAGGUUUUCGGAUCGUAAACUGCUUUUCUCGGGGACGAGCAAGGACGGUACCCGAGGAAGAAGCCCCGGCUAACUACGCGCCAGCAGCCGC